rnacentral:ncRNA from 1 species
CAGUCUGCCUUAGGGCAGUUAAAAGGGAAGAGGAGUGAAAUUCUCCCAUGGUCCCGCCACUGUGAUGAUGAUGAAAGCAUAAAAUCCACUGAAGCAGAUGUUUUGGGAAGGUAUGCCGGUAAGAUGAUUCUAAAUCAGGAGACCUGCUGUAAAAAU